UACUGUGGGGAUAAGAUCAAGACUUUCUGA
rnacentral:piRNA from 1 species